AUUGAACGCUGGCGGCAUGCCUUACACAUGCAAGUCGAACGGUAACAGCACUUCGGUGGCUGACGAGUGGCGAACGGGUGAGUAAUACAUCGGAACGUGCCCGAGAGUGGGGGAUAACGCAGCGAAAGCUGUGCUAAUACCGCAUACGAUCUACGGAUGAAAGCAGGGGACCGCAAGGCCUUGCGCUCAUGGAGCGGCCGAUGGCAGAUUAGGUAGUUGGUGGGAUAAAAGCUUACCAAGCCGACGAUCUGUAGCUGGUCUGAGAGGACGACCAGCCACACUGGGACUGAGACACGGCCCAGACUCCUACGGGAGGCAGCAGUGGGGAAUUUUGGACAAUGGGCGAAAGCCUGAUCCAGCCAUGCCGCGUGCAGGAUGAAGGCCUUCGGGUUGUAAACUGCUUUGUACGGAACGAAAGGUACUUUCUAAUAAAGAAGGACUCAUGACGGUACCGUAAGAAUAAGCACCGGCUAACUACGUGCC
rnacentral:rRNA from 1 species